GUGUGGAGACUCCCUGUGGAGCGUGUGAGUCCCUGCGGAGUGUUUGUGUGCUUUGUUUUUGGAGAAGCUGUCUGCUUGGCCCUUUGGCUGGUGCCCUGUGUUUAGAGAUCCGAGUCCUGCUUCAGCUUGGGAGAGGAAAUGCAAACAGUGAGUGCUCAUGGAUAGGAAGGUGUCAAUCAUGUCCUCCCUAGGUGAAGGAUGCUUGUGGAAGUCAAAUGUUGCUCGACACAGAGUAUCCAAUAGAAGGGGCAAAACCCAAAGGCAGCUGAGGAGAACCUAGCAGCUUUUAGCUAUUGGCUGACACAGGCAGCUGAAUGAGAACUGGAGUUUGGUUUACCCUUUGUUUUCUAAUGGGUAGAAUGUAUUGAUAGAGCAGAGGAGAGAGGCAUGGGCCCGAAUAAUGCUAUUUCUAGGCUGCUGUAAUAGCUCUAAUGCGGUGGGGUUUGACAUACCUGAUAUCCUUACUGCACAUCAACAGUGUCCGUAGAAAAAUGAGUCAAAGGUGCUUAGACUGGAUUUGUAGCAGUGUUCUGGGAAGCUGAGCUUUGUUUGGGGCAUGCAAAUUGCAGCAAAACACUUGAAGAGAUGGGUUUGCUUAUAGCCUGGCUUAUUUAACAGUAUAUUUUUUUUAAGAAAAGCUGUUGCAUUGGUUUAAUGUUAUUUCUCUCCAGUGUGCGGUGAGGACUUAAUAUCUGUGCUAACCUUUCUGUAUAUGUUGAACUGAAUUCCUCUAGUCCUGAUUCAGUAAGAUGUGUGUUACUUUCUUAGCUCAGGCAGAAAUGUACACUUAGUAAGUUAUAUUUGCUAAACAGAUGAAAUUUAAAACAAACUUGAGUUCUUAGUACAGUGUGAGACUUGGCUAGUAAAUUGUUUUCUGCUUUGUCCUGGUUUUGUUAAAAACAAGUUUCUCUUUCAGUGAAUUUUGCCUGUCAGCUAAAGCUUCAUAUUAACUGCAUUUUCCUGGAGAACCAGACACAUGUUUUAGUAAACCUAGCAAUGGAAUGCAAACUUAUUGAUAAGCACGGAUGGACAUCUCGCAAGAGGGGCGACGAGAAACAAGUGACCAAGAAACUGACCAACUGUGUAUAGUAUUCCAUUCACGUGAAUACUUCAUAUAAAAGUGGGAGAUCACGAGGAUCUCGUCUCUUUUGCUCCCUUUUCCCUUUUUCCUUAUGGCUGACAUUAGGAGAGGACCUUGCAAGUCGUCCCUGCAAACUGAGGCCUAGUGACAGACUGAAUCCAGCUCCGGUUGGCUGCAGAGUCCAGUCCAGGACUUUGGUUGCCGGCUCUGCAGUUGGGGAGACUUUCACGAUUGGUUUUGUAUAAUUUGUAUUAUUUUCUCUAUUCUUGUUGGUAGCAUUAGUGAAACAUUGUUAAUUUUUCCAACUCUCUUCUCUCUGUCCUUCUUUCCCUCCCGAUCACCUGUCCUG